CAAGUCGAACGGCAGCGCGGGGCAACCUGGCGGCGAGUGGCGAACGGGUGAGUAAUAUAUCGGAACGUGCCCUGGAGUGGGGGAUAACGCAGCGAAAGUUGCGCUAAUACCGCAUACGAUCUAAGGAUGAAAGCGGGGGAUUCGCAAGAACCUCGUGCUCCUGGAGCGGCCGAUAUCUGAUUAGCUAGUUGGUGGGGUAAAGGCCUACCAAGGCAUCGAUCAGUAGCUGGUCUGAGAGGACGACCAGCCACACUGGAACUGAGACACGGUCCAGACUCCUACGGGAGGCAGCAGUGGGGAAUUUUGGACAAUGGGCGAAAGCCUGAUCCAGCAAUGCCGCGUGAGUGAAGAAGGCCUUCGGGUUGUAAAGCUCUUUUGUCAGGGAAGAAACGGUGCGGGCUAAUAUCCUGCACUAAUGACGGUACCUGAAGAAUAAGCACCGGCUAACUACGUGCCAGCAGCCGCGGUAAUACGUAGGGUGCAAGCGUUAAUCGGAAUUACUGGGCGUAAAGCGUGCGCAGGCGGUUUUGUAAGUCUGUCGUGAAAUCCCCGGGCUCAACCUGGGAAUUGCGAUGGAGACUGCAAGGCUAGAAUCUGGCAGAGGGGGGUAGAAUUCCACGUGUAGCA
rnacentral:rRNA from 1 species